GAGGCAGCAGUAGGGAAUCUUCCGCAAUGGACGAAAGUCUGACGGAGCAACGCCGCGCGAACGACGAAGGCUUUCGGGUAGUAAAGUUGUGUUGUCAGGGAAGAACAAGUAUCGGAGUAACUGCCGGUACCUUGACGGUACCUGACCAGAAAGCCACGGCUAACUACGUGCCAGCAGCCGCGGUAAUACGUAGGUGGCAAGCGUUGUCCGGAAUUAUUGGGCGUAAAGCGCGCGCAGGCGGUUCCUUAAGUCUGAUGUGAAAGCCCCCGGCUCAACCGGGGAGGGUCAUUGGAAACUGGGGAACUUGAGUGCAGAAGAGGAGAGCGGAAUUCCACGUGUAGCGGUGAAAUGCGUAGAGAUGUGGAGGAACACCAGUGGCGAAGGCAGCUCUCUGGUCUGUCACUGACGCCCAGAUCCCAUCCCCCC
rnacentral:rRNA from 1 species